rnacentral:snRNA from 1 species
UCGAUUGCGCAGUGGCAGUAUCAUAGCCAAUGAGGUCAAACCGAGGCGUGAUUAUUGCUAAUUGUGAU